GAUGAACGCUGGCGGCGUGCCUAACACAUGCAAGUCGAACGGAGAUUACGGACGGAAGUUUUCGGAUGGAAGCCUGUAAUUCUUAGUGGCGGACGGGUGAGUAACGCGUGGGCAACCUGCCCUAUACAGGGGGAUAGCAGCUGGAGACGGCUGGUAAGACCGCAUAAGUCGGUUAAAUCGCAUGAUUUGAUCGGGAAAUGAGCAAUCAGGUAUAGGAUGGGCCCGCGUCCGAUUAGCCAGUUGGCAGGGUAAAAGCCUACCAAAGCGACGAUCGGUAGCCGGACUGAGAGGUCGGACGGCCACAUUGGGACUGAGACACGGCCCAAACUCCUACGGGAGGCAGCAGUGGGGGAUAUUGCACAAUGGAGGAAACUCUGAUGCAGCGACGCCGCGUGAGUGAAGAAGUAUUUCGGUAUGUAAAGCUCUAUCAGCAGGGAAGAUGAUGACGGUACCUGACUAAGAAGCCCCGGCUAACUACGUG
rnacentral:rRNA from 1 species